CACCAGAUGGGAUGUUGUAGCUAUGAAGUAAUGAUGUCGAAAUAUGUUCCUGUUGAACCCGAGUCGUCUGGAGGGGAAGACCAGCUUGAUUCUGGUCAAUGGGAAUGAAUAGAAGAUCUCUCAGAAUAUGACUACACCUGAAUAAAUCAAGAAUACUUCCUGUGCCAAGGCAAAAAGCAUCAUAUGGUAUUCUGGCUAAUUAGAGAGCACAUGGGUUUUCCAAAAAUCUUUACACUUCAAGGAAGUAUUCUGCCACACAAUAUCAACACAAUCUGAAAACAGAUCUCCAGCCUGACGAGAAACUUGGAACUACACAUUGC